rnacentral:rRNA from 1 species
AUCAGCAGCUGUGCCAUGUAUAAGUCAGCCUAGGAAAUCCAUCUGAAGCUAAGCAGGUUUGGGCCUGGCCAGAACUCGGAUGGGAGACCCAGCAGAAAAGCUGGGUUGCUGCUGGAA